rnacentral:rRNA from 1 species
GACGAACGCUGGCGGCGUGCUUAACACAUGCAAGUCGAACGGAAAGGCCCUGCUUUUGUGGGGUGCUCGAGUGGCGAACGGGUGAGUAACACGUGAGUAACCUGCCCUUGACUUUGGGAUAACUUCAGGAAACUGGGGCUAAUACCGGAUAGGAGCUCCUGCUGCAUGGUGGGGGUUGGAAAGUUUCGGCGGUUGGGGAUGGACUCGCGGCUUAUCAGCUUGUUGGUGGGGUAGUGGCUUACCAAGGCUUUGACGGGUAGCCGGCCUGAGAGGGUGACCGGCCACAUUGGGACUGAGGUACGGCCCAGACUCGUACGGGAGGCAGCAGUGGGGAAUAUUGCACAAUGGGCGGAAGCCUGAUGCAGCGACGCCGCGUGCGUGAUGACGGCCUGCGGGUUGUAAACCGCUUUCGCCUGUGACGAAGCGUGAGUGACGGUAAUGGGUAAAGAAGCACCGGCUAACUACGUG